GUGUCUUCUUGCCAGGAUUCCUGGACAACAAUGUAGUGACCUUGUCUCUUGUUACAGGUUUGGUCUUAACGCCUGUUUUGUCUGAUGUAAGUGUAGCUUCUCCAGUUCAUGUUUCCCUUCCAGUUCACGUGAACCAUCCUGCAAACAGGGCGUCCAGUGGAUCCACAGAAGAGGAGAAUUCGAGGCCAACCCCUAGCUCUGCUUGGGGCAGCCAUGUGGUGGAUCGGGCUUUGGAUGAGAACAAGCGAGGAGAGCAGAGGGGAGUCGGAAGCACACGGAGUGCCAGCUCAGGUGUCAGAAUUCCCGCUGGAUGGCGACCGCGAUGGAGAGGGGACCUCUCCACCUGCACACACCAACCCUCCAGGCCAGAACUCCGCCCCUUCAGCUGAAGUCAAAGCUGAGGUUUGCCUUCUGUGCUCCCAACUGAAUUGAAUAUCUGCCUUACAAGACCCAGCUCCAGUCCGUGUCCAUGGGCUGUGCCAAAUUAAAUAAGUAUCAGAACAGAUUCCAGCUCCUGCCCUGAUCUUCUUCCAUUCCCUAGGCUGGAGCAAAAGUCCAGAUAGUUUUCCUAUUUUCUUCUGUUGCAGAAGCCAAUAUCCAAGGAACACGGUUCAUCUUAGGGGCAUGCUAAAGAUGGAAAUGGCAUGGAAAAAUAUUCUUGUGAAGCAAAAAUCCUAUGUUACCAAAAACAUCACCUGUGAAUUGUAGAUUUCUAUGUUGCUUCUGUUAAUUUCCUAUUUAUACCCAACUUGCUUUCGGUGAGUGCCUACUAUUUGAACAAUCAUGUAUUAAUGCAGUUUCUGAGAUGCCAAAUAAAG
rnacentral:lncRNA from 1 species